AGCAGCAGACCCUCCCUCCCAGACCCUCCCACCUCCUGGACAGCAUCCAUUUUGAAGCUGCAUUCUUAGUGAGCUGUCCAAGAGGUGGGAGGGUCUGGGAGGGAGGGUCUGCUGCUCAAUAUUAUUAUUAUUUUUUUUUUU